GCGCCCGUAGCUCAGUCGGAUAGAGCAACGGCCUUCUAAGCCGUGGGUCGCAGGUUCGAAUCCUGCCGGGCGUG
rnacentral:tRNA from 2 species